rnacentral:tRNA from 1 species
GCCUUUGUGGUGUAACGGUAGCGCACUCGGCGCAUAUUCGAGAAGUCCAAGUUCAAGUCCUGGCGAGGGCA